UACGGAGGGUGCGAGCGUUGUCCGGAAUCACUGGGCGUAAAGGGCGCGUAGGCGGCGCGGUAAGCGUGCGGUGAAAGCCCGGGGCUCAACCCCGGGUCGGCCGUGCGGACUGCCGGGCUCGAGCACUGUAGAGGCGGGUGGAAUUCCGGGUGUAGCGGUGGAAUGCGUAGAGAUCCGGAAGAACACCGGUGGCGAAGGCGGGUCUCUGGGCCGAUACUGACGCUGAGGAGCGAAAGCGUGGGGAGCGAACAGG
rnacentral:rRNA from 1 species